UACGGGGGGGGCAAGCGUUGUUCGGAAUUACUGGGCGUAAAGGGCUCGUAGGUGGCCAACUAAGUCAUACGUGAAAUCCCUCAGCUUAACUGGGGAACUGCGCUUGAUACUGGUUGGCUUGAGUUUGGGAGAGGGACGCGGAAUUCCAGGUGUAGCGGUGAAAUGCGUAGAUAUCUGGAGGAACACCGGUGGCGAAGGCGGCGUCCUGGACCAAUACUGACACUGAGGAACGAAAGCUAGGGGAGCAAACAGG
rnacentral:rRNA from 1 species